rnacentral:rRNA from 1 species
UACGUAGGGGGCUAGCGUUAUCCGGAUUUACUGGGCGUAAAGGGUGCGUAGGCGGUCUUUCAAGCCAGAAGUGAAAGGCUACGGCUCAACCGUAGUAAGCUUUUGGAACUGUAAGACUUGAGUGCAGGAGAGGAGAGUGGAAUUCCUAGUGUAGCGGUGAAAUGCGUAGAUAUUAGGAGGAACACCAGUAGCGAAGGCGGCUCUCUGGACUGUAACUGACACUGAGGCACGAAAGCGUGGGGAGCAAACAGGAUUAGAUACCCUGGUAGUCCCU